CCUCUGAAGCGCAGUGGGAGCGCUCCCGCCUCGCUCCGGAGGCUUUGCGUUGCUUUCACUGAAGCCUGGAGAGCGAGAGGGGUCGGUGCGUACCGAUCCCUCUCACUCUCCUGGCUUUGCUUCGCUGGAGAGGCGCUGCGCAGCUUUCCCUCUCUGUGCAGCACCCCUUCAGCCAAGCGGGAGGAGAAAUGGAAGGGGCUCCGUUUCUCCUGCCGCUUUGCUGAAGGGGUGCUGCGCAGAGAGGGAGAGAAUUUUUUUUUCUUGUUCUCCCCCUCUAAAACAAGGUGCAUCAUAUGGUUGGGUGUGUUCUAUAGAGCGAAAAAUACGGUAAUUAUACAACCAAUGCAAGAAACUAACUUAUACUGAGUUGGCUCAACGCUCCAUCUACCUCCUCAUUGUCUGCACUGACCAACAGAAGUGCACCAGAGUUUCAGGCAAAUGCUCUACCAAUGAGCUACAGUUCUUACCCCAUAAGCUGCGGCCUGGUUUAUGCACUCACCUGACCUGUGCUCCAUUUUAUGAGCUGGAAGAGGAGUUUCUCUCUUCCACCAUGCAUAUAAUGUAACAAGGGAGGCAGGUGCUGCAUUCACAGAUCUGUAUUUUGAUGGCAUGGUUUUUGCUUUAUUAGCCACCCUGUUUUUAUAAAGGAAGAGCUAUUAAAACCAUUAUUUAGACACAUGAGUCUUCUGCUUCACGUAGGCCGUGAAUAGUAUAAGAAAGGCCAGGAAGGGUGCCUCUCUGUGCUGCCUCAUUAAUUGGAGUGCUAGCCCACUGGGUGUAUAAAUGGCAACAUUUGGAUAAGUGUGCUAGUGCUGGCACUAUCAUUAUUACUGCUGCUAUUUAGCAUUUGUUUAGUAGAAUCAGUGCACCAUUGCACUAUCUGUUAAGAAGACUUUUAUAGAUAGGACAGAGGGAAACGGAAAGGGCAGGACUUGAUAAGCAAAAGUAGAAAGGAUAAUAUAGUGAUGACUGCAGGCAAAAGAAUAGCAGCAUAUCCAGACUAUCUGUAUUUCAAGGGAGGGAUUCAAGUGAACACGAAAUCUAGGUUUGCACAGCUAAAGUAGGUGAAAGAGCUCUGUCGCAACAAAUUCACUUUAAAAAACCUGUUUUUUGCAGUUAAGAAAGUGAUGGGGAAAUGAACUACAAAGUGUGGGGAGAAUGAAUGGUUAGCAGGAAGAUGCACAAGCAAAUUGGGAUGUUUUCAGGAUGAAUUCUCAUUGUCAUAGAACCUCCUUGCAAACAAAUAGAACAAAUUAUCAAUAAAGACCAGACAGAAUUUAACCUCCAUGUAAGCUUUGUGUAAGCAAAUGUGGGUGAAUGUUCGAUAAACAGGACGUCUGGAGGAGUCCUGAGGACAGAGUGUGCUAGUAAAAUAUCUGUAGAAAAGUUGGGUUUUGCAGACAGAUUAGAAGGAGGGAAGAGAGGUGACUUAAUAGACAGUGGUGGGAAAAUAUUUAGGAUUAGUGCAUUAAUUAAAAACCGGGAUAUAAACUUAAAUAUGAAAUCAAUUUUAUUUUUUUAAAAAAAAUGGUUGUAAAUUAUUUAGUCUCGUUGUUCAACUGACUAUGCUUUUACCUUUAAAAUGUCAAGGAUUCUGUAUGAUGUAGACUAUUUCUGAGUUAAUAUUCCUAGCACCCUUGAACAACAUUAGCUGAACAAAUAUUGCAGUCAUGAUACCCUGGAGUAGUUCCCUAAGUCCCAUUACAAUUGGAUAGAAAUAAAACCUGUUUAGGACCAACAUUUCCUAUAUAUAAGAGACACCUUGAAAAUAAGAUUCCACCAUCCCCAGAUCCAAAGGUUUCUGUAGCAAAAUGGCACACAGUAAAAAUGAGGCUUUUGACAAUUGCAGUGUGAUAAAGUGGAGCAGGAUCCAUAUGUACUCAGUUUUGCUGGAGUUUAUGAGGCUUUCACGGGGAAUUCCUUUUGCAGUAUAGAUGCAAUUGAUAGAGCCAAAAAAAUUAGAUAUGGAGGAGAAUUCAAUACUCUUGAAAUAGUAUAUGUAUUCUGUUAUGGCCACAGAGGCCUUAGUGAAAAAUGUAAAUCUUAAAAGUCACUUAAAAGUCUGGAUAAAUCAUUCCACUUCUCACUACUUCUCAAUCACUUAAACUGAAGGCAGAAAGAAAGCAGAACAUUUAGACUGCUGCUCCGAGCCAGACAGUUGCUUCGGUACAACUGAACCAUGGAUAAACCAGAUAUAAAAGGCAGACCUUUUGCAUUAAAAGUAAAUAGAUUGGAAGGUGGAUGGUUAACUAUAUUCUUGCUCAUCAGCUUCACUUCUAAAACCUCUGAAUACAAACAGAAUAAUUAAAUAUUUUAGGAUUUUCUUGAUUCAUAAAGGAGCACUCCUCAAUUCUUAGAUUAAUUUGUACAGUCUAUACUAUAUACAAGUGAGGAGAUACCAAUUCAUAAUGUGAUGGAUGCAAUCUAAAUGCAAUAUAUGCUGCUUGACACAAGUUUCCAUUGCUUCAAAGACAUUUUUGUCGGGAUUGUUUUAUAGAGUGAAAAGGUGCACCAUAAAACAUCUGAUGCUUUCUAAAAAACAAGUCCUCUAGCUCUCUUGACUAUUUUAUUCACCUUUGGUUGCAAUUUUAAACACACAGUGCAACUGUAUGCAUGUUUACUUGGAAGUAGACAACACUAUUUUCAGUAAGGCUUACUCCUAGGUAAUUGUGGAUAAGAUUUUUCCCAGUUUCUACGGAACUCAAUGGGAUAUAUGUCAGAGUAAAUACAGAUAUAUUUGGGGCAUAAGUAAUAAUAUAUAAUUAAUUAAACACAUAUUAAAAGAUUAUGUCCCUGCUCCCAAGGUUACAGUCUAAAUAAAUCAAUACCGGCAAAUUCUGAAGUAACAGAUUUUGCUGCACUAAAUACAGCUAAAUACGAUGGAGCAAGUACUGUUUGUAAACCACUGCUGAAUUUAACAGCGGUAGUAAAUAUUAGUAGCUCUGAUAUACUGUACAGGAGUAAGUCCCGAAAUGCAUGUGUUUAGUUUCUUAUUAUUAUUUAUUUAUUUUUUACAUUUUACACCACCUUGGGUUGAAUAUCUGGAAGACGACUCUUAUGUUUUUGAGGAGUUAGACUUCAUAUUGACGGGAUUCAAGGGAUGAAUUCUGGAUAUUUGUAACAAAGAGAAUGCAGCAGCAAAAUACGAAGCAUCUUACUCGGCAACAUACUCCCCCUCCGAUAUGGCUAAAAUAGACAUCACUGCACUUCAUCGUUAUACAGUGCUGGUACAAUCGCAGUGCAAGAGUAUCCUGAGGUAUCCAUUGAAAGGCAGAGAGAGAUCUGUCAGGAAACAGUGGACCAACGUAAAGUAAUGGCAUUCCUUACCAUAGAAAUCAAUCAAAAUACAGCCCCUUCAAAGAUUUCAGCCAAAACAGAAAUAUCCAUAAUAAGCAGAUUCUAUCAAGGCCUGGCUUUUAAGAUUUAUGGUUAGCAAUGUAUUAUUGUUGUUGUUUUAUGAUUUUCUAGUGUUUAAAACUGCGCUACUUGCUGGUUAAAAAAAAAAACCAGAGGAGAAAACAAGGGAAGUGAGGAAUAAGGGAUUUUUGUAUACAAUAAUGUAUAUGAAUAAAAAUGGAAAUUUAAGUAGAAAAACAAAAUGUGAACUAUUUUAUUUCACAAGAGUCCUCCCAUCCAAUAUUUCUUUUCGUGAACACUUAGAAGCCAGUGGUGAACUUCGCCAUUCCCUGUCAUGGAUGUAACUAUACACAAAACCGAAAGGUUUCCCUUGUCCUGUUAAUGCUACAGUGAGCAAAAGCUUAGAAAACAGAGAAGCACAGAUUUGGCUCAGGAGAAAGAGGUUGAAUUGUUAUUUUUAUCAUAAUGUUAUUUGAUGAGGAAACUCUUUUUUUGUUCUUUGUUUCAAAUUAAAUAAUCUUGACUUUGUAAAGUCCAAGUGCUAUGCUUUACUACAUCAGCCUAGGUGCUCAGAAUGAACACAAAGCAGGAUGUUAGCAAAGCUAGUUAACAUCCCUGACAAAAUACAGAGAUAUAAGUUUAGGAUCAGAGUACUACUCAGAACCACUACCUGAUGACUGAAUGAACCCUUAAAGAUGAAGAAACAGAAGAACUGAAAUGUUUCUAAAAGAAACAUUGGCAGAUUAUAAAUUUGAAAAAUUAAUAAAAAUUAAUGGGGGGGAAGUUGGCAGAUUAUGGGAGUGACAAUUAAUACACUUCUGUUUAUUACAAAGGAAAUACAUAAACAACAUGACAAAAUUUGGUGGUAUUUUAGACGUCCUCAUUAAAGGCCGAUCACAAAAUUCCAGUUGAUCAUAUUUUAGCCUGGAAAAUAAAACCUGAUCUUGUCCAGAAAUAUCUAAGGAAACCUAUGUGGGAUGAGGUUUGUAACUGCUAUCUUCAAGUCACACAGGCAAUAUCUUUCUCUCCUCCACCCCCGGCCUUUAAACUGGGAAGAAAGAAGUUGCUGUAAUUGUAAUAUUUCUUGUAUCUCACUCCUCUGCAGUUGCACACAGUGCAGUGUACAAAAACAAAAAACAAAACAGCCAUUUAUAUUAAAAGCAGCCAUUCAACACCAUAUAUAAUAAAGUAAGCUUUAAAGCCCGAGGUGGCAACAUGGUCAGUCAAACAACCAUUAAAAGCUUUCAGAAACAAAUGGGUUUCAUUUUCUUUCUAAGAGGGAGAACCAAACACAGUUUAAAUGGAAUUAAUAACUUAAUGAAUAACUGUUGCCUAGCUUGCUUUUUUUUUUUUAAAGGCAGAGCAUUUUAACAGUUAAUUUUCCGUAGUCACCAUUGUAACCAAUUUUGUAGUGGUGAAAUUGACUCAAGUAUUCACUGACAUUGACCAAAGGAUGACAAAUGGGAAAAUAAAGAUGUUCAGAUGCUCUGGGUAGUGUUCAGCUAUGUUUUACUCAGAGUACCAUAUUGACUGCGAGUGCUGGAAGACCUGCUCCCUGCCUUGCAUUCUUUUUCCACCUGUCCUAGAAAGGCAGAGCCCUGACUGACUCCAGCUACAAAAGCUGAGCCUGCUGCGUAUUGAUUAGAAGGAAGUUGGGGUUUUGGGGUGAAGGAGGGGUGUUGUUACUGCUAUUAUUGAUAUUUUUAUCUUUAUUUUAGAUUUAUUAUGUGGAAAUGUAUGUGGAAAUUGUGUUUUUAAUGUGGAAAUUGUUUUAAUUUGAUUGUUUACUUUUUAACAUUUUAUUUAUUGUUUAUGACUACUUUUGUUAUGUUUGUAAUUAUAUAUUUUUCAGGUUGUAAGCUGCCUUGAGCAUGGUUUUAACUAUGGAAAGGUGGCAAACAAAUAAAAUUAUGUAUGUAUGUAUGUAUGUAUGUAUGUAGACUCAUUGAAAAUGGACCUAAUUUAAUUGUUUAUUAUAUUUACUGGGAUAACACAGUAAGAUGGGCAACAUAUUUGUUGUUGUUGUUGGGGUCUACUCUGAAUACAACUUAAACGCCCCCACCGUUUGUAAACAUACUUCAUGUGGAACCUGUUUUAAAUUUCCACUUUCUCAUAUGCAUGUUCAAUUUGACAGUGUUAAAGCUGCCAGAGGAUCUAAAUAAAUAAUAAAUAUAAAAUGUCCAGUUAUCCAUGAAAACUCAGAUAGGGAUGGUCGGUGGGACUAUAUAGGAAAUGUCGCAUUUCUGUGACUUGGAGCGGGUAGCAAAUUUACAUGGGUUACAGUUGCCACCUUUUCACUACAAAUUUGACUGCCCAACAGAAAGCAGCAAAAGGAACGAAUCUAAAAGAGGAUUGAAAGGUAUCCUUCACUAAGGGAUAUUAGGCCGAAGUGAACAGAAGAAUCGCUGAAAGGAUAUUACUCCCUUUUUAAAUCUGGGGCACAUGUUAAAAGUUUCCCUCAGGCAGCACGUGCAUUGCUUUUAUUUCUUCAACACAUAACCUGAACUGACAGUAACCUUGGCACCAAUACAUGGGCAAUAUUUACAAAAGGAUGCACCAUUUCUGAACAAUGUCUCCCUAAUGUAGGAUAGGCAGGCUUUUCUUGAUCAUCAGGCAUGCAUGUCGUCUUGGUCCAGCAAUUUUGUUUGCAGACAAAUGUAGUCAUUGUGGACCCAGAAAAAUAAAGCGAGAGAAAAUUGCUAUUCUG